UAUGCAUUGCUUAUUGCACCACAUGUGUUUUUCUUUGAAACAAACUUGCUUUGGCGGUGGGCCCAGCCUGCCGCCAGAGGUCUAAACUUACAACCAAUUUUUUAUCAACUUGUCACACCAGAUUAUUACUUAAUAGUCAAAACUUUCAACAACGGAUCUCUUGGUUCUCGCAUCGAUGAAGAACGCAGCGAAAUGCGAUACGUAAUAUGAAUUGCAGAUAUUCGUGAAUCAUCGAAUCUUUGAACGCACAUUGCGCCCUCUGGUAUUCCGGAGGGCAUGCCUGUUUGAGCGUCGUUUCUCCCUCAAACCGCUGGGUUUGGUGUUGAGCAAUACGACUUGGGUUUGCUUGAAAGACGGUAGUGGUAAGGCGGGAUCGCUUUGACAAUGGCUUAGGUCUAACCAAAAACAUUGCUUGCGGCGGUAACGUCUACCACGUAUAUCUUCAAACUUUGACCUCAAAUCAGGUAGGACUACCCGCUGAACUUAAGCAUAUCAAAAGCGGGGAGGAA
rnacentral:rRNA from 1 species